CAGUAGCCACGGGAAUACGUAGGGUGCAAGCGUUAAUCGGAAUUACUGGGCGUAAAGCGUGCGCAGGCGGUUUGUUAAGACAGAUGUGAAAUCCCCGGGCUCAACCUGGGAACUGCAUUUGUGACUGGCAAGCUAGAGUGUGGCAGAGGGGGGUGGAAUUCCGCGUGUAGCAGUGAAAUGCGUAGAUAUGCGGAGUAACACCGAUGGCGAAGGCAGCCCCCUGGGCCAACACUGACGCUCAUGCACGAAAGCGUGGGGAGCAAACAGGAUUAGAUACCCCCGUAGUCCCUGUCUCUUAUAC
rnacentral:rRNA from 1 species